rnacentral:misc_RNA from 1 species
UGGCUCUCGCAUCGAUGAAGAACGCAGCAAAGCGCGAAAUGUAAUGUGAAUUGCAGAAUUCAGUGAAUCAUCGAAUCUUUGAACGCACCUUGCGCUCCCGGGUCAUUCCUGGGAGCAUGUUCGUUUGAGUGUCGCGUACCUUCUCAACCCCGGUGGGCCUUUUGGGGCACACUUGUCUAGGGUUGGAUCGUGGCCCGCGUGCCCUUCUGUCAAGUGGGGCUGGGCUGAAUGGCAAGAAGCUGUACUUGAACCGGCGGCUUGACCUGUUGUCGUAAAUCAAAUCUCAACGGGAACGCCUGGUUGCAAAGAUGGGCUUACCACAAAUGUACAUCACACUUUGACCUCAAAUCGAGCAGGACUACCCCCUGA